rfam:Rattus norvegicus chromosome 15, whole genome shotgun sequence.
GCAGUGCCUUAGCAGCACGUAAAUAUUGGCGUUAAGAUUCUGAGAUUAUCUCCAGUAUUGACUGUGCUGCUGAAGUAAGGU